UACGGAGGUUGCAAGCGUUGUUCGGAAUGACUGGGCGUAAAGGGAGCGCAGGCGGUUCGAUAAGUCUGGAGUGAAAGCCCGGGGCUCAACCCCGGCGGGUCUUUGGAUACUGUCGAACUUGAGUACGGAAGAGGAGAGUGGAAUUCCAGGUGUAGCGGUGAAAUGCGUAGAUAUCUGGAGGAACACCGGUGGCGAAAGCGGCUCUCUGGUCCGAUACUGACGCUCAUGCUCGAAAGCGUGGGGAGCAAAC
rnacentral:rRNA from 1 species